UACGGGGGGAGCAAGCGUUGUUCGGAUUUACUGGGCGUAAAGGGCGCGUAGGUGGCGCAACAAGUCACUUGUGAAAUCUCCGGGCUUAACCCGGAGCGGCCAAGUGAUACUGCCGUGACUAGAGGUCGGUAGGGGAGUGUGGAAUUCCUGGUGGAGCGGUGAAAUGCGCAGAUAUCAGGAGGAACACCCGUAGCGAAGGCGGCACUCUGGCCCGGAACUGACGCUGAGACGCGAAAGCGUGGGGAGCAAACAGG
rnacentral:rRNA from 1 species